rnacentral:rRNA from 1 species
AUUGAACGCUGGCGGCAGGCCUAACACAUGCAAGUCGAGCGGUAGCACAGAGAGCUUGCUCUCGGGUGACGAGCGGCGGACGGGUGAGUAAUGUCUGGGAAACUGCCUGAUGGAGGGGAUAACUACUGGAAACGGUAGCUAAUACCGCAUAACGUCGCAAGCCCAAAGAGGGGGACCCAUGGGCCUCUUGCCAUCCGAUGUCACCAGAUGGGAUUUGCUAGUAGGUGGGGUAACGGCUCACCUAGGCGACGAUCCCUAGCUGGUCUGAGAGGAUGACCAGCCACACUGGAACUGAGACACGGUCCAGACUCCUACGGGAGGCAGCAGUGGGGAAUAUUGCACAAUGGGCGCAAGCCUGAUGCAGCCAUGCCGCGUGUAUGAAGAAGGCCUUCGGGUUGUAAAGUACUUUCAGCGGGGAGGAAGGUGUUGAGGUUAAUAACUUCAGCAAUUGACGUUACCCGCAGAAGAAGCACCGGCUAACUCCGUGCCAGCCGCCGCAGUAA